GAUGAAGAACGCAGCGAAAUGCGAAAAGUAAUGCGAAUUGCAGAAUUCAGCGAGUCAUCGAGUUUUUGAACGCACAUUGCGCCCGCCGGUAUUCCGGCGGGCAUGCCUGUCCGAGCGUCUUUAACAAACCUUCGAGCCCCCUCUCCCGGUUUCGGGGGAGCGCUCGGUGUUGGGUCCCCGUUUCCCGGGCGCGUCGUCGUCGCGGGAGGUCCCGAAAUCCACAGCCGGAGGACGCUCAGUGGUUGAGCCGGUCGUGCCAGGGUCGCGCGAUCGGGACGCUCUUCCCCGACGUCCUUUCCGGAAAGACACCUCAAGCUUCGACGCUUUUUUUUUUUUGACCUCGGAUCAGGUAGGGUUACCCGCUGAACUUAAGCAUAUCAAUAAGCGGAGGA
rnacentral:misc_RNA from 1 species